rnacentral:rRNA from 1 species
CCCUGGCUCAGAUUGAACGCUGGCGGCAGGCCUAACACAUGCAAGUCGAGCGGAUGACAGGAGCUUGCUUCCUGAAUUUCAGCGGCGGACGGGUGAGUAAUGCCUAGGAAUCUGCCUGGUAGUGGGGGACAACGUUUCGAAAGGAACGCUAAUACCGCAUACGUCCUACGGGAGAAAGCAGGGGACCUUCGGGCCUUGCGCUAUCAGAUGAGCCUAGGUCGGAUUAGCUAGUUGGUGAGGUAAUGGCUCACCAAGGCGACGAUCCGUAACUGGUCUGAGAGGAUGAUCAGUCACACUGGAACUGAGACACGGUCCAGACUCCUACGGGAGGCAGCAGUGGGGAAUAUUGGACAAUGGGCGAAAGCCUGAUCCAGCCAUGCCGCGUGUGUGAAGAAGGUCUUCGGAUUGUAAAGCACUUUAAGUUGGGAGGAAGGGCAGUAACUUAAUACGUUGCCGUCUUGACGUUACCGACAGAAUAAGCACCGGC